UGAUUUUUCAUUGUUUAUCGUCGUAUUUUGUCUAUUUUGGAUGCAUUUGGAUUUCGUUUCCUGUUUUUGUGAACUUUAUAAACUUUACCACAAUGCAAACUGAUUAUUUAAGGAAAUUAUUAUUGGAAACUCCAGAUGUUGCGAGAAAGAUAUUUAUUGAAGCUGAAAAUAAUUGGGGAUUUAGAUCCAUAGGCAAUUCAGUCAGAAUUGGAUUUUACAGUAAAGUGCAGACCAUCAAGUUACUAUUAUAGAUAUUUAUACAUAUCUGGUGGAAUCUCGCAGUUGCUACUCUAAGCAGCAGAUGAAAGCAUACAAAAGCCUUCAGGCACAUAAAUAUUUUACAGCUGGAUUUGUUUUGAAUGGAGUAAAAAUUGUUAAUGAUUUCCUGAUUUUCAUAUUAUUGUUGGAAAGGUGAAGCAUUUCCAAAAAUCUAAUGCUAAACGACUAAAUGCUUGGGUGUGGUGAUAGCCAGUUCUGAUGACAUAGCAAAUGCAGAUUGUAUGUGUAUGGCCGGUAAUAGUGAAGUCUGCAGCAAUCCUAUUUUUAGCUGAGUAUGCCCAGGGCAAGACAGACUAAGAAGAACCCAAUGCAUGUACAUAUGUUACAGCUACAUGGUUUGGAGAUAGCAACAUAUGCAUUCUCUGAUGAAAAACUAAUGAGUUUUGAAACUGUUCGGUCAGAGUGCUUCUUGUGCUCACUAAACGAACUGAAAUAUAAGAUGGCUUUGGCAUUGUGUUGCAGCGAUAUGAAAAUGGUUAUUCAUUUUUAAUUAUAAUGUACUUCUUCUUCAUGAGUAAUUAUGUA